rnacentral:rRNA from 1 species
GAUCGAAUGUUCCGCCGAGCAGACGCGCAAUGGUCUGCCAAUUUUCUUCCUCCGCGUUCCCGAUCCCCGCCCUCGAUUCCGUAAUUUCCGGAUAGAUUCCACGGGAAUCGUGGCUCCCCGAUUGUUUUUCCUUUAGGCCCCGGAUCAGAAAGAACGGAUCCGCAGCAACCUUGCGCCGCCAAGGAGUGGGUGAUAGCAGCGGUGGAAGAGGGCGUGGGUACCAAGGGGCCGACGACGACGACGGUCGUGGCCGAGGACGGGCCAAACAAGGCGGCGGCCGUGAGGGUGGAGGCCGCGCCCGUGGCUACAAAGGGGUUCGUGAUGGCGGACGCGGCUGAGGCUAUCAACAGGGCGGCAACGACUACGGCGGCCGCGGUGGGCGCAACAACUACAGCGGCCGCGGCCGGGCCAGAGUCAACCGCCCCGGACAUGCAUCAAGCCACGGGGCCUCCCCUCUCCGAGCGCUACCACGCAGAGGCGGCUCAGCUCCGGGAGAAGUUCCACGCGAUGGACAUCAGCCGUGUGGCUGUAGAUCCAACCGACCGGCGAUGGAGCAGCUGUCAGCGUUCCUCCGCGCGGCACCAGGUUCCGUUGCACCUCCUCCAUUGUGCUCUCCCUGCCCCGCGGUCCCUACCAGAAGCCUUGCCAGCCGCAGUCUCCCAGAUCCUCCUCUCUACGCGUCUCUGCUUCCCGUGCGACGUCGCCGGCUUCACGAUCUCCACCACGAUGGGCGUCACGAGCCCAAGGGAGCGCGUCGAGACCAUGGCGAUAAUGCUUCCCUUCCUACCGUCGUUGCCGCGUUCCGCCAAUUGCGGCAGGAAGCCAUGGCGCAGGCAGAGAAGUCGCCUGUCGAGUAGGCGGCUUCAGCUGCAACACCGGAUAAGUGACCCCUCCGUCAUAAGAUGAGGUUCUUCAGUUACACACCUGCAGCUUAAACAAAAUUCAUUUCUAUUUUUGCAGAUUUUGAAUUCAGUGUAGUAGAGAACACCCACAAAAUCUUCACAAGGAUUCAUGAACUCACUUUCCAAUGGAAGAAAUGUGAUGUUCAAUUAGCAUUAACCCGAUUGAUCUCUUGCCUGGGGAAGGGGAGACUGAGGGGGAAAUGGCGACCAAGAGGAGCGUGGGCACCCUGGGCGACAAGGACCUCAGGGGGAAGAAGGUGUUCCUUCGUGCCGAUCUGAACAUUCUGCUGGACGACAGCCAGAACAUCACCGACGACAAUUGCAUCCGCGCCUCCGUGUUGUCCAUCAAGUUCCUCAUGGCGAAGGGUGCCAAGGCCAUCCUGGCCAACCAUCUGGUGAGCACGCGCUUCUCGAUUUGUGUCUAUGGCGUUUUACUGACGAAUUUGUGCCGCUUGAGCUUAGAGUGUCAGAUGGGGGACUUGCUGUCAGUCCUCUGUUCAUCCACUAAUCUCUUGGGAGUGAAGGGAAGAAGAAAGAAAAUACUUUCAGCUAAUAGUUGUAUGUUCCGUAGCCUGUUAGCAUUGUGCUUAAAAAUCAUAGUAACAAAAAUAGUGAGGAUUAACUUAGAAUUGCAUUUUCUUUGAUUGUUUGUUACCUUUCUACUCAGAAACAUACAGAACAGAGUCCGCUGUGCAGUUCAUGUCAAUUGCUUUUGUAUAUGUCGAUUAGUCAUUACAGUAAUUUGUAAAACAGUUUGUUCAAAUGGCUCCUGCCGCUUGCCAUGCCUCACCCGCCGGCCCGUUCGCCACUAGCCUCGGCCCCCGCCCACUCGCCUCUCCUGUGGCAUACGGUGCCCGACCCGGCUCUGUUUGUCUGCCUCCCUCGUGUUACUCGUCAGUCGGCCCCGCCAUUCAGCCUAUCGCGUGGCACAUGGCUGUAGCCGCUUGAUGUCGGGAGCAACACCACGGGAUGGCCCUGCCGCACCUUCAUCGCAGAGUCACCGGUAAAUUCCUUGCUUUCUGUUCUCACAAAGGCAAUUUCAAGUCUUGUGCGUUUUUAUUUGAUACCCGUGUGCCAAAAACUGAAGUCUAUGUGGUACGACUGGAAUUCCUGUUAAGUUCAUAUAUUGCAAUUCUGAAACUGAAUUUUGUGUCUGUAGUUAUUCUAAUGUCCCUCGGUUCAACUCGGUGUAUUUACUUCUCAUGUUGAACUGAUGUGUGAUACUGGAUCUUGUGUACUUUCAACAGCCUUGCAAUUUUCGUUAGGAUUUGGUGCGUGUGCAUUUUCACAUAAUUUCUAACAAUCCAGUUCACCUUUUAGUUGCAGAAGACUAACCAACUAGGCGCACAUCGAUCCAUUUGUGUAUGCUAGCCUCCUCCUCUGCAUUUGCAGGCCGCCGAGUCCAACUCCGCUGCGGCGUAGAUCACCCGCCCGCCACGCUGCGCAACUCACGAUGCAGCUGGCCCUCCUCCGCAGCAAGGCUGUCUUCACGCUUAUCGACAUUAGUUUAAUUCAGAGUCUAUUUCGGUGUGUUUGGAGUGGAUGGUAAGAUGAUGUACUCAAAUACAAUGAGAAGAGCAGGCAUAUCCACUGGGUGGUACCUUUUUCCGUAAUAAAGUGGUGGUGGUGCUAAUUAACUAUGGGCUCUUAGUUUGAUUCAGACUCUAUAGGUGCACUGCAUGCACUUUAGUACAUAGCAAAUUCGCAAACAAAAUUUAACUUUUUGUUCAUCUGUGUGAACUUCCUUUGCAUAUAUGCUGAUAACAGUUUAACUUCAAAAUGAAAAGAGAAUCCAAUCCAUACUGUGCUAUAGUAAUUUUUAGUGUCAACUAAUUCAAGAGUACUUGAAAUCUGAUGGGAGUACUGAUUGUGCAUCAUUUUCGACUAAUCUUCUUAACUGAGACCAAAUUUAAAUGCCCUAGAGGCCUUAACACUAAGAUGGCUUAAUCCUUUCAGCAUCUAACAAUUAUUAUAAAAAAAACUGAGAAGACUCCACCUAUGGUGAAGAAUGGAUGAGUCUGUUAGAAACUCGAUCGUUUUCUUGUUUCAGUAUUGUCCGCAUCUUUGUUUCAUGAAGAUUCUAUUCUGUAUUUUUAUGUCACAUUUGAAGGUGUUGGCAAGUAGGUGGCUCUACAUCUUGCCAAUUCAAUUUCUAAUAGGCAUGAGCCCCCUGUAUUCUGGACAACUAAGGACACAUGCAUAAUUACUUGAUCAUGUAGCAAUUCUAAGUGAGACGCAUGCAUUUAGAUUGGAUGUUGAAGCGAGCCCGCCAUUUUAUUACUCUGAGAGAACUAUACAGUGAUAUUUGGCUCUUGCUUUCAGUAUUAGAGAAUCAUAGAAACUGAACUGCAGGGCUUACUAUAGUUUUAUGUGACAUUCCUCUAUGCCAUCAUGCCAUACUGUUUAUUUUGAGCAACCUUUCUAUUGUAUUUUGUUGGACAAUUUUUAGUGUAAUGUCUAGCACCUCAAUAUACAGUAAAUAAGUGCAAGUAUUUGAUUUUCUCAUGUUGUAUUCAUUUUCUUUGCUCUGCUACUGUAGCAAUCAAAUAGAAUCACGCACAAGCUCCAGUUAGUCCUGUGCAAAACUGAUGUAGAAGUGUGGACUAUGGACUCCUUAUUUUUCUGUUUCAGGCUUAGGAUCAUAGGGAAAAGUGUGGACUAUGGAUUCAUACCAGAACUGGAUUGGCCAUGGCACAUCUUCACCAACGAGUCAUGGUGUCGGCAACAAAAUUCAAGAUUUCCCGUUUCCUUCAUUUUCAAGCAUCUCUCUUAAAGGCAAUGUAUGCAGGUUCAUCAUUCAUGCGAGGGAUAUGAAAGGUGAAACAAAAGUAAAAGGUGUUUAUCAUAAUUGUAAAGGAGUGUCGUGUCGAUUUUAUAAGUCCAUUAGUAUCCUACUACUCGCAGUUUUUGUAGUUCAAUCAAAUAGUACAAUUUUCAAAUGAUAUUUGUUAUGGUUAGAUAUAAAUAUUUUAACAUUUUGAGGUUCCGUGAGAUGAGAUGAUGGC